AUACGGAGGAUGCGAGCGUUAUCCGGAUUUAUUGGGUUUAAAGGGAGCGUAGGCGGGAGCUUAAGUCAGCGGUUAAAUGGUGCGGCUCAACCGUGCCCUGCCGUUGAAACUGGGUUUCUUGAGAGUGCAAGAGGCGGAUGGAAUUCAUGGUGUAGCGGUGAAAUGCUUAGAUAUCAUGAAGAACUCCGAUUGCGAAGGCAGUCCGCUGGGGCACGUCUGACGCUGAUGCUCGAAGGUGCGGGAAUCAAACAGGAGUAGAUGCCCUGGUAGUCCGCACGGUAAACGAUGAUUACCCGCUGUCGGCGGUAGACAGUCGGCGGCCAAGCGAAAGCGAUAAGUAAUCCACCUGGGGAGUACGCCGGCAACGGUGAAACUCAAAGGAAUUGACGGGG
rnacentral:rRNA from 1 species